rnacentral:rRNA from 1 species
CCUACGGGUGACUGCAGUGGGGAAUAUUGGACAAUGGGGGGAACCCUGAUCCAGCCAUGCCGCGUGUGUGAAGAAGGCCCUCGGGUUGUAAAGCACUUUCAGUGAGGAAGAACGCCUGGUGGUUAAUACCCAUCAGGAAAGACAUCACUCACAGAAGAAGCACCGGCUAACUCCGUGCCAGCAGCCGCGGUAAUACGGAGGGUGCGAGCGUUAAUCGGAAUUACUGGGCGUAAAGCGCGCGUAGGUGGCUUGAUAAGCCGGUUGUGAAAGCCCCGGGCUCAACCUGGGAACGGCAUCCGGAACUGUCAAGCUAGAGUGCAGGAGAGGAAGGUAGAAUUCCCGGUGUAGCGGUGAAAUGCGUAGAGAUCGGGAGGAAUACCAGUGGCGAAGGCGGCCUUCUGGACUGACACUGACACUGAGGUGCGAAAGCGUGGGUAGCAAACAGGAUUAGAUACCCGUGUAGUC